AACCGCCGUAUACGGAACCGUACGUACGAUGGUGUGAGAGGAGGGCGGGAGCGAUCUCGCUUCCUACUUGAU
rnacentral:autocatalytically_spliced_intron from 1 species